rnacentral:rRNA from 1 species
UCGUUUUUCUGCUACCAUGCAGUCGAGCGGUAGCACAGAGAGCUUGCUCUCGGGUGACGAGCGGCGGACGGGUGAGUAAUGUCUGGGAAACUGCCUGAUGGAGGGGGAUAACUACUGGAAACGGUAGCUAAUACCGCAUAACGUCGCAAGACCAAAGUGGGGGACCUUCGGGCCUCAUGCCAUCAGAUGUGCCCAGAUGGGAUUAGCUAGUAGGUGGGGUAACGGCUCACCUAGGCGACGAUCCCUAGCUGGUCUGAGAGGAUGACCAGCCACACUGGAACUGAGACACGGUCCAGACUCCUACGGGAGGCAGCAGUGGGGAAUAUUGCACAAUGGGCGCAAGCCUGAUGCAGCCAUGCCGCGUGUAUGAAGAAGGCCUUCGGGUUGUAAAGUACUUUCAGCGGGGAGGAAGGCGAUAAGGUUAAUAACCUUGUCGAUUGACGUUACCCGCAGAAGAAGCACCGGCUAACUCCGUGCCAGCAGCCGCGGUAAUACGGAGGGUGCAAGCGUUAAUCGGAAUUACUGGGCGUAAAGCGCACGCAGGCGGUCUGUCAAGUCGGAUGUGAAAUCCCCGGGCUCAACCUGGGAACUGCAUUCGAAACUGGCAGGCUAGAGUCUUGUAGAGGGGGGUAGAAUUCCAGGUGUAGCGGUGAAAUGCGUAGAGAUCUGGAGGAAUACCGGUGGCGAAGGCGGCCCCCUGGACAAAGACUGACGCUCAGGUGCGAAAGCGUGGGGAGCAAACAGGAUUAGAUACCCUGGUAGUCCACGCCGUAAACGAUGUCGAUUUGGAGGUUGUGCCCUUGAGGCGUGGCUUCCGGAGCUAACGCGUUAAAUCGACCGCCUGGGGAGUACGGCCGCAAGGUUAAAACUCAAAUGAAUUGACGGGGGCCCGCACAAGCGGUGGAGCAUGUGGUUUAAUUCGAUGCAACGCGAAGAACCUUACCUGGUCUUGACAUCCACAGAACUUGCCAGAGAUGCCUUGGUGCCUUCGGGAACUGUGAGACAGUGCUGCAUGGCUGUCGUCAGCUCGUGUUGUGAAAUGUUGGGUUAAGUCCCGCAACGAGCGCAACCCUUAUCCUUUGUUGCCAGCGGUAGGCCGGCACUCAAGAGACUGCCCAGUGAUAAACUGGAGGAAGGGUGGGGAUGACGUCAAGUCAU